CUGCAGGGGAAGCAGAGGGCAUUCAGCACCUAGCAAGCUACAAUUUUGGAACAGAAGAUACAACUGUGUAUUGUGUAUCCAGCUCAGGUACAAUGGUGAAGAGAAGUUCUAUGGGUCCAGAAAUAAGUUUUCCUGUCCUCAUUGAGAGACGAAUUCCUGGAGUUUCCCCCAGUGUGACUUCUGCAGACUUCAUGUAACCCAGACAGAAGCAGCCACGAUUACAAACUAUCUGCUAUCUGAAAACCUACUGAUCAAGAACAUCAUCGGCUGCUUCAGACAGCCAUGGGAUUCAGGAGGCAGCAGGUUCCUGUCGUGCCCAGUGGGAGACACACAAGGCAUCACAAUUUCUCCUUCAGGUUUCAAAAGCAGUUCUUCCUAGGCAACAUUAGACUGUAUUAGCUCAGCCUGCACCCUGGAAGAUUUUAUCCCUGUUGAGAUAUUCUUCCCAUGAAGAAAACACCAGGCAAACUAAGUGAUCUGUCCAGAACCACAAAACUCUGUGCCCAGCUUAGAAACUGAGUCUAGGCUUUGUGCAUCCCAACCCAAUGGCCUAACAAUUAUGCCUUCUGUUGAACAUUAUUUAUUUAAAACAAAGCAAAACCACAAUAGAAAAAAAAAGACAGAGACUUUAACGAAACCAAUAAGGUCUUAUCAAAGGAAAUGAACUUACCCUGUUCCUUCAUAGCUUAUCUCCUUAUUUCGUCUCACCCCAAGUCUCACAUAAGAGAAAAUGUCCCUACACAGUUCCCGCAGUGCCAGGACCUUUUCACCAGAGCUCGUUCCAAAGCGACAGCAGCAGAACCAACAGAUCACAGGAGGAAAAGCCCAACCUGGCUCUUGCUCGUUCCUUCAACAGUUCCCCUCACCUGCCAGUCCGCGCUGGGACUCCUGACUGCUGGAAUAGCAAUUCUGCUGCUCAUUUACAGCUUCCAGUGGUGACUCCUCCGGAAUUAUUGGCUCAUCCUGUGAAAUUAUUCCAUCACUUUCAAUGCCUCUGUCUCACAGCAGAAACCAAUUUACAAUAACCUCCUCAGAGCUUUUACACAGCAAUUAUUUUCAAGUGCAACUGCGUAGAACAAGUGAUAUGCCAUGUAUUCUGUGCUCCAGAAAACGAAACUUUAUAGACAUAAAGUGUAGCCAGGCAAACACUUCUUUCUUGUGCAUUGCUAAUUGCAUCUUAAUUAGAGCAUUUUACAUGUAUUUAUGCGCUUUUCAUCCUAGUAUAUCCCAGAGCAUUUUGUAAACUGUCACACAGUUUUAAAAGGAGACUGUAUUAAUACAGAACUACCAGUACCCAGACACGUCUAGAAUCCAGGGCAGCAGCCUGUGGAUAAAUUCAUUAUGAGAAAGCUUUGGCCAAUGGCAGAACACUGAAUCUCUGUAGUUAGAUAAAGACGUUUCCUUCCCCUUCAGACAUCAUUUGAAAUUCUUGCAUAUCCAUUUCAUUUGAUGAUCUCACUGCUUUAAAAACAUUCAUUAACUUGUACAGUAUUUUAAUUAGGUAAGGCAUAAAUAAAGAUCUAAAACCUGCAAUGCCUCUGCUAGUAGUCAAGAGGAAGUGCUUAAGGGAAAAAAAAAAGAUGAA
rnacentral:lncRNA from 1 species